rnacentral:rRNA from 1 species
GAGGGCGGGGGAUAACCACUGGAAACGGUGGCUAAUACCGCAUAAUGUCGCAAGACCAAAGUGGGGGACCUGAAAGGGCCUCACGCCCGUGGAUGAACCCAGAUGGGAUUAGCUGGUAGGUGGGGUAAUGGCUCACCUAGGCGACGAUCCCUAGCUGGUCUGAGAGGAUGACCAGCCACACUGGGACUGAGACACGGCCCAGACUCCUACGGGAGGCAGCAGUGGGGAAUAUUGCACAAUGGGCGCAAGCCUGAUGCAGCCAUGCCGCGUGUAUGAAGAAGGCCUUCGGGUUGUAAAGUACUUUCAGCGGGGAAGGAAGGGGUUGAUUUGAACAGAGUCAAUUCUUGACGUUACCC